rnacentral:rRNA from 1 species
CCUACGGGAGGCAGCAGUGAGGAAUAUUGGGCAAUGGGCGCAAGCCUGACCCAGCCAUGCCGCGUGAAGGAUGAAUGCCCUAUGGGUUGUAAACUCCUUUUGUACGGGACGAAACUCCUGGUCGUGACCGGGAUUGACUGUACCGUGCGAAUAAGCAUCGGCUAACUCCGUGCCAGCAGCCGCGGUAAUACGGAGGAUGCAAGCGUUAUCCGGAUUCAUUGGGUUUAAAGGGUGCGUAGGCGGAAUAAUAAGUCAGCGGUGAAAGCCUGCGGCUUAACCGUAGAAUUGCCAUUGAUACUGUUAUUCUUGAGUAUAGUUGAGGUGGGCGGAAUGUGUAAUGUAGCGGUGAAAUACUUAGAUAUUACACAGAACACCAAUUGCGAAGGCAGCUCACUAAGCUGUUACUGACGCUGAGGCACGAAAGCGUGGGGAGCAAACAGGAUUAGAUACCCUGGUAGUCCACGCUGUAAACGAUGAUCACUCGUUGUUGGCGAUAUACCGUCAGCGACUGAGCGAAAGCAAUAAGUGAUCCACCUGGGGAGUACGGCGGCAACGCUGAAACUCAAAGGAAUUGACGG